GAACGCAUAUUGCGCUCUUUGGUAUUCCGAAGAGCAUGCUUGUUUGAGUAUCAGUAAACACCUCAAAACUUUUUUUUAUUUUUUGAAAAGCAGUUUUGGACUUGAGCAAUCCCAACACCAAUCUUUUUUAGAUCGGUGGCGGGUUGCUUGAAAUGCAGGUGCAGCUGGACAUUCUCCUGAGCUAAAAGCAUAUUUAUUUAGUCCCGUCAAACGGAUUAUUACUUUUUGCUGCAGCUAACAUAAAGGGAGUUUUGACCAUUAUGGCUGACUGAUGCAGGAUUUCACAGAGAAAAGGCCGGCAACGGUUUUGUCUCUGUCAAACUCGAUCUCAAAUCAAGUAAGACUACCCGCUGAACUUAAG
rnacentral:misc_RNA from 1 species